UAUGACUUUCCGGGGUACACGCCACAGGAAAAAGGAAAAAGUCUCAGGUGGGCAUGCGUGUAACUCCCUAAACGCACUGCGCGUGCUCAAUUCCAAAGGCUAAGGAAAGCAUUGCGCAUGCGGGAAACCCACGCUGAGGGAAGAAUCAUGGGAAAGAGUAGAGACGGGGUUCCACCGUGUUAGCCAGGAUGGUCUCGAUUUCCUGACCUCGUCAUCCUCCCGCCUUGGCCUCCCAAAGUGCUGGGAUUACAGGCUUGAGCCACCGCGCCCCGCUCUUUCGUGUUCCAAAGGCUUUUUAAAUAAACUUCCACUCCUGUCCUGGAUUCUGCUUUAUGGCCCUCAGUCGAAUUCUUUCUUCUGAGGAGGCAAGGACUGAAGUUGCUUCUGACCAGUACAGGAGAAAACGAAUACAGCAGGGAUGACUUCCACCAGCUCCACUUUGCAGCUCUGAGGUGUAUUAAAAAUAAACCUAGAGCCCCACCAAAUGAAUCCGCUGGCACGUGGACCUCAGAUGGGGGAAACUGAGGACUGAAUUCUGACCACCCUCCUUUGUUCUAAAUUUCUUCCUGAAGGACCUGGAAGAAGUCAUGCCACGGGCCAGACCUUAACAUUCCUUUCGGCUUACCCCAGGAUUUCAGACAAAGCUUCACUUUCCUAACCAGUCACAAAUCAGAGAAUUUUUGAUUCCACCUAUGACCUGUGAGCUCCUGCUUCAAGAUAUUCCACCUUUUUUAGGCCAAACCAAUGUAUAACCUCCAAGUGUCGAUUUACACUUUCGACUGUAACUUCUGCUUUCCUGAGAUUUACCCCUGCCUUUAAAAACCCUUGCUUGUAAUCCCUCAGGGAGGCCGUGUAUUUAUUAAUCAUGAGCUGCCCAAUUCUCCUUGCUUGGUGCCCUGCAAAUAAACACCCUCUUUUCUCCCACUGCAAAACCUCAGUGUGGAUGUUUGGCUUUACUUCACCCCCAGGAAAGCAGACCCAGGUUUGACUCAGCAACAACAUCUGUUUCUAUUUUUCUCUGUAUAAAUAUUAAAAACCAUAAGUACAUGCUAUCUCCAAUUCCAAUAUAAACCCAUAGGGCUCAUUCUGGCCUUCCCAUUUUCUUAUGUGUAAUUCAUUUCUCUGAAAAUGAGAAUUCGAGUACUCAGAUAUUU
rnacentral:lncRNA from 1 species